rnacentral:tRNA from 1 species
GCCUUCGUGGUGUAAUUGUCAAGCACGCUCGGCCUUAAUUGAGAGGUCCGUGGUUCGAGUCCCGGCGAAAACG